rnacentral:rRNA from 1 species
UUCGACAUAACAGCUACAAGCAAGCCUGGGGAUCUGAGCCAGUGGAUCAUGAAACGUUAUGAUCCAGAAAUGUCUCAAAUAGUAAUACCUGAUAGAGGGAAGAUACCAGUAGACGUAGAAAGGGUUCCGAGGAUAUGGGGCUUGCCUAACAGAGGCAGAAAAGUGUGUUUCAAAAUGAAUCCUGAUGUUAUAAGGGAAUUCAACAGUAUUUUCAAGAUCGAGGGCAAAAACGUGCCUACACUGACAUCUUGGUGCAAAAGGAUCGUGAAGAUGAAUGGGACGUAUGACGACGAUUUUCUCCAUGCUUGGUUGGCUGUUGCAUUCUCCUGCUUCCUUGCUCCAACCACAAGCUUGAGCAUCUCGCCAAGGUUGUAA